rnacentral:rRNA from 1 species
GCCCAAGAGAUCGGGAUAACACCUAGGAAACAGAUGCUAAUACCGGAUACAACAGAUGAUGCCUAUCAACUGUUUAAAAGAUGGUUCUGCUAUCACUCUUGGAUGGACCUGCGGUGCAUUAGCUAGUUGGUAGGGUAACGGCCUGCCAAGGCGAUGAUGCAUAGCCGAGUUGAGAGACUGAUCGGCCACAUUGGGACUGAGACACGGCCCAAACUCCUACGGGAGGCAGCAGCG